UAAAAGCUGCACAGAUCCUUGCCCUCACUACCAAUAUAGAGGCUGGCUUCCAACGUGCCCUGAAAACUGGUGUUGCUCUCAUAGAUCCAUCCUCAGCAACCAUAGAUUUAGGGUCUCGCUUGUCAGGACCCUGAAUGAUGGUCUCCCCCAGGGCUCUGAAACAAAUCAUUUCUGCUCAGAGUUUGUAACCUGAAACAAAUCAUCAUUUUAUGGUACAAUAGUGUGUGUAGGUGCAGUAGUUAUGCAAUGGAAACUAUUUGAACAUGCCAACAUUUUACAUUUAUUUGUGAUCUGUCAAAGACAAAUUGUAAAGCCAAGAAGACAACAGGGGAUAGGGAUAAGUUGUGUGCUUAGAUUGUUUAAAGUCCUCUUCAUGUGUUCUAAUAAUUCUGUGCUUUAAGGAAGGUUGAAACCGCAUGCGUAAAUGACAUUCACUGCUGUCUACUUUAGUCAGAUUCUGUUCUCUAUUGCCAAAGGACUAAUGACAAUCGUAAAACAAUAAAAUAAGGUUGAAAGGGUAA